GACGAACGCUGGCGGCGUGCUUAACACAUGCAAGUCGAGCGGUAAGGCCCUUUCGGGGUACGACGAGCGGCGAACGGGUGAGUAACACGUGGGUGACCUGCCCUCAGCUCUGGGAUAAGCCUGGGAAACCGGGUCUAAUACUGGAUAUGACUCCAUGACGCAUGUUGUGGGGUGGAAAGCCCUGUGCGGCUGAGGAUGGGCCCGCGGCCUAUCAGCUUGUUGGUGGGGUGAUGGCCUACCAAGGCGA
rnacentral:rRNA from 1 species